rnacentral:snRNA from 1 species
AUAUAUUUCUCGACCUUUUGGCUAAGAUAAAGUGUUAUAUUUGUUCUUAUCAAUUUAAUAUCCGAUAUGUGGACCAUAUGUUUACUUUGUGUAACACCUUGUCCACUCCCG